rnacentral:snRNA from 1 species
UGAUGUAAGGCCGAUCUGGCUGUGACAUUUGUUACCCCAUUGAUCACCAGGGUUGAUUUGGCUCAUCUGGCUGGCUAGGCAGGUGUCCCCUUCCUCCGUUUCCACUCCAUGUGUGGCCCUCCUGAAGCUGAGCGCUCGGUCGAAGAGGAUGACCAUCUCUGCUAAAGGAGGAUCAGUAGGAUAUACAAAUAGGUGUGCGCCCUGCUCGAACCCCCAAACAAGCUCACAGAGGCAUAUGAUCAAUGACUGUUCCCUCUUUACCCAAAUCUAGUUUU